rnacentral:lncRNA from 1 species
CACGCGGCCCCUGCUGACCCCAGCCCGGUCCACCCAGCGGGGCCGAGCUAGGGCCCCGGCCCGGGCCCUGCGGAGCGCGAUGGUCCCCCGGGGCGACCCCUGAGCCCCUUGCCGGAUCCGGGGCUCUGCCUCUGGGCCGCGCCCCCACCUGAGAGUCGUCACCAACUUCUGCCCGGGAACUCCACUCUGCCCCUUCUCUUGGCCCAGGGCGACCUCGGCAGCCCUGACAGCCCGGACCCUCCGGUGUGCCCAGAAGGGUCCCCCGGAGUGGUCUGCGCCUCCCUGGAUGGAGGCGCCUCCAGAAGGAGCCGGCUGAAUGCUCUGGCCUUCACCUUGCAGCCUCCGCUGACCACACCUCCCCGAGUGCAGGGGUUGCCGCCCCGCCCGCCCGCCGGAAAUGCUGUCCCAGGGAGCUGGGGUGGCACCUGACGUGUGUGGCCUGCCGGUGGCCUUGGAAGGCUGGACGAGCUCCCAGACCAGAGCACCCAGGAGGCCUGGGGAGACCGAGGGAAUUGACAUCCUUUGAAGGCAGCAGGGGAAAUGUGACAUGGACAUUCAUUCUUCUGCCUGAGAGCACCCCUGAAUGUCCCUUUAUGACUCUGGCUCACUGCCUCUGGAGGGCUGGUUCCCUCAAUCAUGUCUCAAUGAGGAGUGACCACCAGCUCUACUGGGGCUGAGAUGGAGCCCCCAGAAUAGCCAGGAGAAGCUGUCACCUCCCACCUUCCUUCCUCCCUCUCAG